rnacentral:rRNA from 1 species
AGAAUCAACGCUGGCGGCGCGCUUAACACAUGCAAGUCGAACGAGAAGGCGGGGGCAACCUCGUGAGUAAAGUGGCGUACGGGUGAGUAACACGUGGGUAAUCUACCUCCGGGUACGGAAUAACGCUGGGAAACCGGCGCUAAUACCGUAUAAGCUUUAGCAAGGAAAGCGGUUUUGUGAAAGCAAAGCCGCGCCGGGAGAGGAGCCCGCGGCCGAUUAGCUAGUUGGUGAGGUAACGGCCCACCAAGGCGAAGAUCGGUA